rnacentral:tRNA from 1 species
GCCUGGGUGGCUCAGUCGGUUGAGCAUCUGACUUCGGCUCAGGUCAUGAUCUCACGGUUUGUGAGUUCGAGCCCCGCGUCGGGCU